UACGUAGGGGGCUAGCGUUGUCCGGAAUCAUUGGGCGUAAAGCGCGUGUAGGCGGUCGUCCAAGUCGCGUGUGAAAGCCCCCGGCUCAACUGGGGAGGGUCACGCGAUACUGGUCGACUCGAAGGCAGGAGAGGGUAGUGGAAUUCCCGGUGUAGUGGUGAAAUGCGUAGAUAUCGGGAGGAACACCAGUGGCGAAGGCGACUACCUGGCCUGUUCUUGACGCUGAGGCGCGAAAGCUAGGGGAGCAAACGGG
rnacentral:rRNA from 1 species